AGAGUUUGAUCCUAGCUCAGGAUGAAUGCUGGCGGCGUGGAUGAGGCAUGCAAGUCGAAUGGGUUUAGACCCAUGGCAGACGAGGUAGGAACACGUAGGUACGUACCCCAAAGUCAGGGAUAAUCCGGCGAAAGUCGGGAUAAUACUUGAUGGUCUCGAAAGAGUAAAGAUUUAUCGCUUUGGGAACGGCCUGCGGGCUAUCAGCUAGUUGGUACGGUAACGGCGUACCAAGGCUACGACGGCUAGGGGAGGUGAGAGCCUGACCCCCACCGAUGGAACUGCGACACGGUCCAUACUCCUACGGGAGGCUGCAGUCGAGAAUCUUCCGCAAUGGGCGAAAGCCUGACGGAGCGACGCCGCGUGGUGGAUGAAGUCCUUAGGGACGUAAACACCUUUUAUGAGGGAAGAAGUUUAUUGACAUUACCUCAUGAAUAAGGGGCUCCCAACUCUGUGCCAGCAGGAGCGGUAAUACAGAGGCCCCAAGCAUUAUCCGGAUUCACUGGGCGUAAAGGGUGCGUAGGCGGUUAUAUUAGUCGGGUGUUAAAACCUGGGGCUCAACCUCAGGAUCGCAUUCGAAACGGUAUAACUCGGAGAAGUGAGAGGUGUGCGGAACUUACGGUGUAGGGGUGAAAUCCGUUGAUAUCGUAGGGAACACCAAAUGCGAAGGCAGCACACUGGCACUUUCUCGACGCUGAGGCACGAAAGCGUGGGUAGCGAACGGGAUUAGAUACCCCGGUAGUCCACGCCCUAAACGCUGUCUGCUAGCCAUGAGGAGAAUCGACCCUCUUCGUGGCGUAGGUAACCCGUUAAGCAGACCGCCUGGGUAGUACGAGCGCAAGCUUAAAACUCAAAGGAAUAGACGGGGGCUCGCACAAGCGGUGGAGCGCGGGGCUUAAUUCGUCGCUAAGCGAAAA
rnacentral:rRNA from 1 species